rnacentral:lncRNA from 1 species
ACUGUGAGGCCCAGAGUGCCCACCCAGAACUCCACCUCUGACCUCACAAAGGCCUGCUUCAGAACUCAGUCUCCACUGCACUGCUGGCCAGACGAGGGAAGUUAUUUUGGGCAGUGCAUCUGGACUUGGUUCAAGUGGCACCAGCCAAAUCCCUGCCUUACUGACCUCUCCCCUGGAGGAGCAGGAGCAGCGCUCAAGGCCGCCUUGGGAGGGCUGAGAGGCAGGCUCUGGACUGGGGACACAGGGAUAGCUGAGCCCCAGCUGGGGGUGGAAGCUGAGCCAGAGACAGUCACAGAGGAACAAGAUCAAGAUGCGCUUUAACUGAGAAGCCCCCAAGGCAGAGGCUGAGAAUCAGAAGACAUUUCAGCAGACAUCUACAAAUCUGAAGGACAAAACAUGGUUCAAGCAUCUGGGCACAGGCGCUCGGGCCACUGUAUCAGGUCCACCCGUGGCUCCAAAAUGGUCUCCUGGUCCGUGAUAGCAAAGAUCCAGGAAAUAUGAUGCGAGGAAGAUGAGAGGAAGAUGGCGCGAGAGUUCCUGGCCGAGUUCAUGAGCACAUAUGUCAUGAUGAACAUACAUAUGAUAGUUGAGAAAGACACAUAUUCUGAUCAUGAAGAAAUAAACACAAGUUAAAUAUGACUAAGCAGAAAGAUGGAAGGACCAGGAACGGUGAUGCUAACUUGGAACCACGAUGCAGGCUCUAAACUCCUCUACAAUCAUCCUCCCUUGUGAGAAAAAUACUUGAUCUGAAGGUCCCAGCAAGGAGCCGACUCACAGAAGAAUGCAGUUUUCACAUCAUGAUGAUUUAAUCUUCCUUGACCUGAGCAAUUGACAACCCCAAUUCUCCAGAACCUCACCCGCCACAAUCCCCUUAAAAACCCUGGCCCAGAACCCCUCAAGCAGACAGAUGUGAAGCUUGAGGAUUCCUUCAUCUCUUUGCCCAAUGGCAUUGUGAUUAUUAAACUCUUUUUCUGCUGCAAAUUAUGAUGUCUCAGUGUAUUGGUCUAUUGCUGCUCAGUGGGCAUAUGAAUCUGGCAGUCCUGUAAUAGGGACAAAAGAUAAACUACUGGCAAAAC